rnacentral:rRNA from 1 species
GGCCAGACUCCUACGGGAGGCAGCAGUGAGGAAUAUUGGUCAAUGGGCUUACGCCUGAACCAGCCAAGUCGCGUGAGGGAAGACUGCCCUAUGGGUUGUAAACCUCUUUUGUCAGGGAGCAAUUGGCGCUACGUGUAGCGUUAUCGAGAGUACCUGAAGAAAAAGCAUCGGCUAACUCCGUGCCAGCAGCCGCGGUAAUACGGAGGGGGCAAGCGUUAUCCGGAUUUACUGGGUGUAAAGGGAGCGUAGACGGCAAUACAAGUCGGAAGUGAAAUACCCGGGCUCAACCUGGGAACUGCUUUGGAAACUGUAUGGCUGGAGUGCUGGAGAGGUAAGCGGAAUUCCUAGUGUAGCGGUGAAAUGCGUAGAUAUUAGGAGGAACACCAGUGGCGAAGGCGGCUUACUGGACAGUAACUGACGUUGAGGCUCGAAAGCGUGGGGAGCAAACAGGAUUAGAUACCCUCGUACAC